rnacentral:snRNA from 1 species
GGAUGGCAGGGCCAUCUGACGACAGCAUACAUCACCCCAUUAUUGAUCAUUAGGGUUGAUUUGGCUGAUCUGGCUGGCUAGGCAAGUGAACCUUCCUCCCUCACUGCCCCAUUUGAGUCCCUCCCAAAGUUGCAUGUUCAGUCAAAAACAAAAAGGACAACAUCCCCCCAAUAAAGACAGACUGGUUUUCAGUCUUGGGUAUAUGAGUAGCUACAUUCACCUGUUAGAACCUCCAAACAAGCUCUCAAGGAAACACUGUCCUUUAUCUGAUAUAAUGAGGGAAUAGGAAAUCUUUUCCCCCAACAUAGCAGAUUCUUUCAAGAUUCCCACUAAGAACAACCAAAAGUUCUAGUCAACACUU